rnacentral:tRNA from 5 species
GGCCCGUUGGUCAAGUGGUUAAGACACCGCCCUUUCACGGCGGUAACACGGGUUCAAAUCCCGUACGGGUCA